rnacentral:rRNA from 1 species
UGGAUUAGUGGCGAACGGGUGAGUAACACGUGAGUAACCUGCCCUCCACUUUGGGAUAACUCCGAGAAAUCGGGGCUAAUACUGGAUAUGACCUUGGCCCGCAUGGGUUGUGGUGGAAAGUUUUUCGGUGGGGGAUGGGCUCGCGGCCUAUCAGUUCGUUGGUGAGGUAGUGGCUCACCAAGGCGAUGACGGGUAGCCGGCCUGAGAGGGCGACCGGCCACACUGGGACUGAGACACGGCCCAG